rnacentral:rRNA from 1 species
GUGCCAGCCGCCGCGGUAAUACGGAGGGGGUUAGCGUUGUUCGGAAUUACUGGGCGUAAAGCGCGCGUAGGCGGAUUGGAAAGUUGGGGGUGAAAUCCCAGGGCUCAACCCUGGAACUGCCUCCAAAACUAUCAGUCUAGAGUUCGUGAGAGGUGAGUGGAAUUCCGAGUGUAGAGGUGAAAUUCGUAGAUAUUCGGAGGAACACCAGUGGCGAAGGCGGCUCACUGGCUCGAUACUGACGCUGAGGUGCGAAAGCGUGGGUAGCAAACAGGAUUAGAUACCCUCGUAGUCC